GGUUCCGCACAGUCACCCCCAGCCCCCGAUGCAGGGCCGGAGGGAGGGCGCCCGGACUGCGCCCCAGCCCGGCCGCCUGUGGAGCGCGCAGGAAGCCGCCUGGUCCCUGCGAGACAGUCGGAGACGUUGUGCGCCUCCGCCUCGGCGCUCCCGGGGGAAGGGGACGGAGGCGGCGCGAGACGCCACUCACUUUGUUCAGCAUCUGAAAGGCAAAUGCAAAGAAAAAAUACAAAAAUAAAGCCAGUCAUCGAUGCAGCUACUUGGCGAGGGCGGACCCUCAGCCCUGCGCUCCCCGGGCAACGGUGCACCUGACGCUCACCUCGGGGUUAAUCUCCAUCGGCUUGAGCUGCAUCUUGGCGAACCACAGGAGGAACCACUAUCCAGAUGAAGAGGAAAAACAGCAAGCGGAGCCGCCCAGGCCGCCGCUAUAAAGCGCCGGCCUGAUGCACUUUAGGUGGCUGCGCAGGGGGAGCAGGGGCAAAACCAAGCGAUGGGAAAACGGAGAAGAUUCACACUGAAGGAGAAAGAAUGCAACCGAAGGAACCGCUGUUCUCUAACGAUCUCAGGCAAUCAACAAGGAAGGAAGCUUAAUUAAUUCCAUGCACAUGUAUUGAGCUCCAACUAAUGCACUGAAGCACUCCAAGAUCAGAAGAUAGAAGAGAAGGAAGGCAGACUGCUACUGAACCUUCACCUGGAAGCAGUGUUAUCGAUGUAGCCCUGAGAAACUUUGUUCUCGUGAAAAAAAAAAUCGAUGGGAACUGAAAGAAUUUCACUGUAGCAAUGUCGCUACAUUUUUUUGCACUCCAUGUAAGUUAUAUGCCAAAAAUCAUACAAAGAUUAGAUUUGGUCAUUCCUUCCUCCUCCAAUUUCGUUCAUUGCAAAGAAUUGGAACCAGUGGACUUGUAAGACUAUCCAGUCUCCAUCGUCUUUAGCUAACGCAGCACCAUCAGCAUCGGUAUGUUGAAUUGUAUUUUUGCUUGGUUUUGCACUUAAGGCAAUGCGCCAGGGUUAGAAUGCGUUUGCAGAGAUGUGCCUUCCUUCUGUAAAGAGGCUGAAGAGUGCAUGUCAAAAGGGAAAAUGGGGAAGAAGGACCAGCCUGAUCCAAGCAAGUGUUUGGGGCAGACUUUUUGGAGUUUUCCCCUCCUUACUGAAGUUGCUGUGAGGACCGGGGAGUGAAGUAUCCGUGCUCAUUGGAGAG